GACGAACGCUGGCGGCGUGCUUAACACAUGCAAGUCGAACGGUAAGGCCCUUCGGGGUACACGAGUGGCGAACGGGUGAGUAACACGUGGGUGAUCUGCCCUGCACUUCGGGAUAAGCCUGGGAAACUGGGUCUAAUACCGGAUAGGACCACUGCCUGCAUGGGUGGUGGUGGAAAGCUUUUGCGGUGUGGGAUGGGCCCGCGGCCUAUCAGCUUGUUGGUGGGGUGAUGGCCUACCAAGGCGACGACGGGUGGCCGGCCUGUGAGGGUGACCGGCCCGACUGGGACUGAGGUACGGCCCAGACUGCUGCGGGAGGCAGGAGUGGGGAAUAUUGCACAAUGGGCGGAAGCCUGAUGCAGCGACGCCGCGUGAGGGAUGUCGGCCUUCGGGUUGUAAACCUCUUUCAGCACCGACGAAGCGCAAGUGACGGUAGGUGCAGAAGAAGGACCGGCCAACUACGUGCCAGCCGCCGCCGUAA
rnacentral:rRNA from 1 species